rnacentral:rRNA from 1 species
UACCAUGCUGAAUAUACCGGUUCUCGUUAGAUCACCGAAGUCAAGCAUCAUUGGGCGCGGUCAGUACUUGGGUGGGUGGCCACCUGGGAACACCGCGUGCCGUU